rnacentral:rRNA from 1 species
UACGUAGGGUGCGAGCGUUGUCCGGAAUUAUUGGGCGUAAAGAGCUCGUAGGCGGUUUGUUGCGUCGACCGUGAAAACCUGCAGCUUAACUGUGGGCUUGCGGUCGAUACGGGCAUCACUGGAGUUCGGCAGGGGAGACUGGAAUUCCUGGUGUAGCGGUGAAAUGUGUAGAGAUCGGGAGGAACACCGGUGGCGAAGGCGGGACUCUGGGCCUACCCUGACGCUGAGGCGCGAAGGCGUGGGGAGCAAACGGG